ACUGCCCUCCUUUAAACUUUAAGCUAACCUAAAGUAAGAUAACCAUGUUUUUAACUUCGAAAAUCCAAAGAAAACCGACUCCUCUUUGUUGUAAGGAUACAUCACAGGCACCAACUUAAUAAGUAAUCUUCCUGUAGAACAUCACACAGAAUCCUUUUGCUCGUCGUCAUUGAAUCAAGGAGUUGCUGUGGAGCUUGAGGGAUCUUCUCUCUGACUUUCCGUCUUUCAGUAAGCGAAUGACCAAGUCACCCAGGACAGACCAGGCUUACACUUUCUUUUCAAAGGACCUCAUAAUGAUACCAAGUGUUGGCAAGUGCAGGAGGAAAUGUGUUCUCUAUACAUUGGUGCCUUGAUGAGCUUUAUGAUGAGAGACAAAUAGAAAAUUCCAUCUUUGGUUGGUGGCAAGAGGUCAAGGGCAGCAGAUUGAAUCUAUGGGAAAUGGUACAACCAUUCACAGAGAAGGUGGUUUCCAUCCACACAAAUUGAUGAAAAGCAUAUGCUGAACAGAACACAGCAUCAGAGAAUGCAGAUCUUGUGAACAAAGCAUCAGUCAUUUGGUGCUCCUGCCUCUGAAAUUCUGGAUGGACUUCUAGCCCAUCGGCCCAUCUACCAGCCUCUUGAGUCCCCAUGGGAGUUCUACCCCCUGAGUGGGUGGCUGGGUAUAGUGAAAGCAGAGCCACCUGCAGCCUGGGAUCUGCCAUCAUUCCUUCUCUUUCAGGUCCUGACAGAGGGAUUCCUAAAUGGAAUUGGCUCCUUCUCUCUCAUGCCUGCUGGCUCAGCUGGUAAAGAAUCUGCCUGCCA